ACGUCUCGCGUGCCGGCAGGCCGGCGAAUCGCGCCGUGCUUUUUUUCCUUUUUCCCUCGCAUGUUCGUCUCGUGGCGAUCGACAAACGUCAGAAACGCGAUCCCUCCUACACCGUGAUUGUAUAAUUCACGAUUAUUCGUCCGCGCGAGUAAUUGUCCGCCGCAUUCCGCGUCUGAACCCAAAUCGCUGCCCAUCGAGGUUAUUUUGUCGAUCCUUUUUCCGCGCGUGCGAAAAUAAUUGCUCGGUCUCGUCUCGGAUAUAUCGCGAUAUAUAUAACAUAUAUUAUAUAUAUAUAUGUACAUGAUUAAUAAUCGGGUGUGUCGCGAUAAGUCGUGUGUGUUUGUGUGCGAGUGCCAUGAAGAAGCAGGAUCGACAAGGACGAGAAAUCAGAGAGCAACCGAGAUAAAUCUGACAACUAUUGCAGAAUUGACAGCUAGUAGCUUGAACAUCCGCUGCUGUGCAUCGGUGA